rnacentral:lncRNA from 1 species
AAAAACCACUGCUCAAGGAAAUAAAAGAGGAUACAAACAAAUGGAAGAACAUUCCCUGCUCAUGGGUAGGAAGAAUCAAUAUCGUGAAAAUGGCCAUACUGCCCAAGGUAAUUUACAGAUUCAAUGCCAUCCCCAUCAAGCUACCAAUGACUUUCUUCACAGAAUUGGAAAAAACUACUUUAAAGUUCAUAUGGAACCAAAAAAGAGCCUGCAUCGCCAAGUCAAUCCUAAGCCAAAAGAACAAAGCUGGAGGCGUCACACUACCUGACUUCAAACUAUGUUACAAGGCUACAGUAACCAAAACAGCANNNNNNNNNNGGAAAUGUGGCACAUAUACACCAUGGAAUACUAUGCAGCCAUAAAAAAUGAUGAGUUCAUGUCCUUUGUAGGGACAUGGAUGAAAUUGGAAAUCAUCAUUCUCAGUAAACUAUUGCAAGAACAUCCCAGCUCCCAUCCCAAAGACCACUGAAGUAAAACUCCCUGAAGUACAAAAUAAAAGCUAAAGAACCAAUCAGCCUCCCUAUAAACUCCCCAACUUUUUUCUUUUUUUUCUACAGGUAUUAACACAGUGACACAUGCAUUGUGAACCCUGUCAUGGUGUGAUUUCAUAUCAAUAGCUUGUCA